AUUGAACGCUGGCGGCAGGCCUAACACAUGCAAGUCGAACGAGUGGCGGACGGGUGAGUAAUGUCUGGGAAACUGCCUGAUGGAGGGGGAUAACUACUGGAAACGGUAGCUAAUACCGCAUACCAUCGGAUGUGCCCAGAUGGGAUUAGCUUGUAGGUGGGGUAACGGCUCACCAAGGCGACGAUCCCUAGCUGGUCUGAGAGGAUGACCAGCCACACUGGAACUGAGACACGGUCCAGACGCCUACGGUAGGCAGGAGUGGGGAAUAUUGCACAAUGGGCGCAAGCCUGAUGAAGCCAUGCAGCGUGUAUGAAGAAGGCCUUAGGGUGGUAAAGUACUUUCAGCGGGGAGGCGUUACUCGCAGAAGAAGCACCGGCUAACUCCGUGCCAGCAGCCGCGGUAAUUC
rnacentral:rRNA from 1 species